UUAACUUUUUUUUAUUGGGGCAAAAACGGAACACCACGUUAAUUAAAGAAUUAUUUUGAUGCACCUUAAAUUCUUUAUCAUACUAUAAAUGGCUUAAAAGUAAUAUAAAAAAUAAAUAAAUUAUAUAACCUCGCAUGGUGUAAUGCAACAAUUUAAUUCGAAGUCUCUACCGGUUGAAACCCUAGUCCUCUGUUUGCUUGCUGAGAAACUGGGGGGAAAAUGAAAGAAAACUAUAAAUCUUUUCAACAUGUUCGAGUUGGAGUGGCAACUGUGACAAUCCGGAUUUUUUUUUUCUUCUUCUCACCGUUUCUCAGCCAACAAAUGGAGAACAUUGAUUCCAGAUAAAGCUUUCGGGUGAGGUCCUUCAGCUCUGCUUUGCUGCCUCUGCCUAGUACCUGACUAGUAUCCGGUAUUCAUAGAGUUAGGCUUUAGUUGCAAUGAUAUUGAACUUGGAGCUAAAGCUCGAGAAGGAAUGGAGCAAGUGUUUUGAAUAGGGUUCUGUUUUGGGCGUAGCUAGAACCGAAGACAAAUCAAUAAAUUGACAGUUCAUAUCCUAGUUAUAUGGACUUAUGUGUCCAUUAGAUUCCUAAAUGAUCUCGUCAUCUCUGUUCACUAGGAAAUAUGAUUAAUUUCUUGUUUUUAAUUCCUUCAUAUUGACGAGAAAUCACCAUCCUCUUCAUUACGGAAUGGUUUGAUAAGGACUAAGGAGAAGAUAAUGUGGUGCCAGUUAUUUUUCACUAUUUCACACAAAAUGGAAGGCUGGAAUUUCCCCAUUGACCAAUUAAGGUCAGCUUGAACAAGUCCUCAUGAGUCCAGGUGCACAAAAGGGUGUUGCAUCUAGGAAUGGAUGGGAAAAUUCUUCUUGAGAAUCAUAGAGAAUUCCUUAAAAAGAGGGGCUGGAUUCUAGCUAAUAGAUGCUUCCUUUGCUGUGAGGAAGAAGAGACUAUUGAUCAUAUUCUUAUUCAUUGCACUAGGGCUAGAGUUUUAUGGGAGUUAUUGUUUGCUCUUUUUGGCGUUGCUUGGGUCAUCUCUUUUUCGGUUAGAGAUACCCUUCUUGGAUGGCGUGGCUUUUACUUGGGCAAGAAGCGUAGAAAGGUGUGGAAGGCAGCCCCUUUGUGUCUUUUUUGGGCGGUUUGGAAGGAAAGAAAUAUGAUUGCUUUUGAUAAUGAGGAGCUUUCGAUUCAUACGUUGAAAAAUUCUUUUGUAUGUAAUCUUUGAUUGUGGACUAAGUCGGUUGUAAAUGAAGGUCCUCUUCCUUUACUCAGUUUUUUUGAUUGGCCAGGUGCUAGUUGAGGGCUGGUGAUUUUUUGUAUCCCCUCUUCUUUUGUUUGUGCCUUUUGGCGCCUCUUGUAUACCCCCUGUAUGCUUUUGGGUUAGCCUCAAGGUGCCCUUUUUUAAUAUAUUUCUUUCUGUGUGUUUGCCUAUAAAAAAAAAAAUAGAGAAUUCCUUUGAAUU